GACAGAGGAUGCAAGCGUUAUCCGGAAUGAUUGGGCGUAAAGCGUCUGUAGGUGGUUUUUUAAGUCUGCCGUCAAAUCCCAGGGCUUAACCCUGGACAGGCGGUGGAAACUACCAAGCUGGAGUACGGUAGGGGCAGGGGGAAUUUCCGGUGGAGCGGUGAAAUGCGUAGAGAUCGGAAAGAACACCAACGGCGAAAGCACUCUGCUGGGCCGACACUGACACUGAGAGACGAAAGCUAGGGGAGCGAAUGGG
rnacentral:rRNA from 1 species